rnacentral:rRNA from 1 species
GACGAGCGCUGGCGGCGUGCUUAACACAUGCAAGUCGAGCGAGUGGAUUCCCUUCGGGGAUGAAGCUAGCGGCGGACGGGUGAGUAACACGUGGGCAACCUGCCUUAUAGAGGGGGAUAGCCUUCCGAAAGGAAGAUUAAUACCGCAUAAUAUCAGAUUAUCGCAUGGUAGACUGAUCAAAGGAGCAAUCCGCUAUAAGAUGGGCCCGCGUCGCAUUAGCUAGUUGGUGAGGUAACGGCUCACCAAGGCGACGAUGCGUAGCCGACCUGAGAGGGUGAUCGGCCACAUUGGGACUGAGACACGGCCCAGACUCCUACGGGAGGCAGAAGUGGGGAAUAUUGCACAAUGGGGGAAACCCUGAUGCAGCAACGCCGCGUGAGUGAUGAAGGCCUUCGGGUUGUAAAGCUCUUUGAUCAGGGACGAUAAUGACGGUACCUGAAGAACAAGCCACGGCUAACUACGUGCCAGCCGCCGCAGUAAGAC